rnacentral:rRNA from 1 species
AACGAACGCUGGCGGCAUGCCUAACACAUGCAAGUCGAACGAGACCUUCGGGUCUAGUGGCGCACGGGUGCGUAACGCGUGGGAACCUGCCCUUAGGUUCGGAAUAACUCCUCGAAAGGGGUGCUAAUACCGGAUAAUGUCUUCGGACCAAAGAUUUAUCGCCUUUGGAUGGGCCCGCGUUGGAUUAGCUAGUUGGUAGGGUAAAAGCCUACCAAGGCGACGAUCCAUAGUUGGUCUGAGAGGAUGAUCAGCCACACUGGGACUGAGACACGGUCCAGACUCCUACGGGAGGCAGCAGUGGGGAAUAUUGGACAAUGGGCGAAAGCCUGAUCCAGCAAUGCCGCGUGAGUGAUGAAGGCCUUAGGGUUGUAAAGCUCUUUUACCCGGGAUGAUAAUGACAGUACCGGGAGAAUAAGCUCCGGCUAACUCCGUG